AUAUAUAUAUCAAACUUCUCUUGUUGAGUGGUUUGGAUGUGGGGGUUUGCUGGCCUUUUAAAGUGUUCAGCUCCUCUGAAAUGCAUUAGCAGAACAAAAACCUGUUCAUUGGCAUGAUAACUAUCUAUGCUAUUGAAUGUGGGGGGCAGUUCAGCUUUCUAACAGUCCUAGGACAAUUAAUCAUUA
rnacentral:misc_RNA from 1 species